AUGAAGUAUUCUAUUAAUAUGCAUCUUAAACGUUACGAAUUAGCGUUAAAAUAUUUGUCUAAAGAUUCAACUAACAAUAAGUUUGAGGAAUGAUUAAAUUUGAUACGUAGUCAUAAAUUAUACCAGGCGGCAAUAAAAUUGUUUGAGAAGAAUACUAUAGAGUAUAAAAAGGUGGCUGAAGUUUAUGGAGAAUUUUUGUCAAGUGAAGGAAAAUAUGUGGAAGCUGGUUUUAUAGAAGUGGCGAUCUUGACAAAAAGUUGUAGAAACAUUUAGAAUGUUAAAUGAUAAUUGGGAGGAUAUAAUCGCAAUAUCAAAAGAGAUGAAACUACGAUAUUAAAGACGAAGGAACACGAAUGUAAAGAGAUCACGCCAGCAGAAACUCCAUCGUUCUUCAAUACAGCGGACAAAAUGCUAAAUCUAAUGCAUGUGACGUUAAAAGAAGCAAAAUACAUUAUGACUAUAGUGAUGGAUCUCAAUGUUAUAUCGCUCGCGCUUCAAAUUAUUUGUUUAGCAGGUAACAUUUUAUCAAGGAUGCUAUUAGGCGGAAGAGCGGAGAGAAACAAAUAUCUGUUGUUACAUGCUUUUAAAUUUGAAAGAUUACAUAACGCUGGAUAAGAAAAUUGAAAAGAAGGGGCGAGGCGAUGAUGGCCCGCGUAGGAAAGCUGCGGGGUAUGCUGAAGGUCUCGUGUUUGAUCCGAAGAAAGGUUUCUACGACAAAGGUUUCUACUGUUAAGGUUUAUUGGUCAUAUGAAGUUUGCACACGUCAAGCUUGACAUCCUAAAGACAUCCUACACAAUGCAUUCUGAAAACGAUACCGUGCAAGUUCGUUGGCGUAUACGUGGUGUCAUCACAGGCUGGAAAAUAUUUUCUGUGUUUUGGAAGUAAAAUUUGUAAAAUACAACAUGUCAUAAAAUAAGCGCUAACCAGGAAAUAUGGUACGACGGCUUUUUUAUUUUUUACGUUAAUGCUGAAUGGAAAAGUCUAUAAGCAUAUUGCGGACAAGAUGAUGCCUAAUCAGGAUACAGCCACGAAAAAGAAAGAUAUGCGCAUGGCAGGGAAAUUAGCGCUAUUCACAGGCCUUGUAAACAUAUUUAGUAACAACGAAGAUUCUUUGAAUUGAGCUCUGUCUUAAAAUCGCAUCAAUUGAAGUGAAUCCAUUGCUGAGUGCUGAAAUUAUACGAUUUUAUCCGUCACAACGAAUAGACCAAGAGGAAUGAUUUUUCCAGUCGAUGGUUUCGAAUGUUGCUGACAUAUCUAUUUCGUUGCAAAUGCAUCAUUAUGAAAUGAUGAUCGGUAGUAAAUGAAAGAUAUGUGAAUUAAAAAGAUGUGU